rnacentral:rRNA from 1 species
AUUGAACGCUGGCGGAAUGCUUUACACAUGCAAGUCGAACGGCAGCACGGGGCAACCUGGUGGCGAGUGGCGAACGGGUGAGUAAUACAUCGGAACGUGCCCAGUCGUGGGGGAUAACGUAGCGAAAGUUACGCUAAUACCGCAUACGAUCUAAGGAUGAAAGCGGGGGAUCGCAAGACCUCGCGCGAUUGGAGCGGCCGAUGUCAGAUUAGGUAGUUGGUGGGGUAAAGGCCCACCAAGCCGACGAUCUGUAGCUGGUCUGAGAGGACGACCAGCAACACUGGGACUGAGACACGGCCCAGAAUCCUACGGGAGGCAGCAGUGGGGAAUUUUGGACAAUGGGCGCAAGCCUGAUCCAGCCAUUCCGCGUGCAGGAUGAAGGCCUUCGGGUUGUAAACUGCUUUUGUACGGAGCGAAAAGGCUCUCUCUAAUACAGGGGGCUCAUGACGGUACCGUAAGAAUAAGCACCGGCUAACUACGUGCCAGCCGCCGCCGUAACAC